CCGUCCAAGCGAUAGACGCGGAGUGACUCACAAGUACCUACAGCUAUGAAACGGCCGAUGACAUUCGAAUUCGGGACUAUACUCGAACUUCAAGUUAACGCGAAGUCAGUCCUCACGUCACUCGAGUAUAGUCCAGCUGAGAUAAAGACAGAUGGUUCCGUCGUCCCUUUCGACAGCAAGCAGGGGGUGGCGCCCACGCGGGGGAUGCAGGGUCAGCGGGAGAGGCGCGGGGUGGCAAGAUUCGCAGGACAAGAAUUGCGCGCGCAAGGACUCUCCGGGGGCGAUUAUCGUACGUACGUACGCACGCGUCACCCGUGCCUAGCAAUGUUUCGUCGUACAUCGAUCGGAUAUAAACAGUCCUUAUAACAGUUCCUUAACGAUCCAAGCAAUGUAUUCAUAAUUCUUAAAGAUAAAGGCAAAUCAUAUGCAUUUCGUUCUUCAUCUCGUAUCGCUGAGAAUUUGCGUUCAAUUUAUAAAGAAUAUUUGAAUUACACAGCAUUUCUAAGCAUUAGUUAAUUCGGAUGUCGUAUUUGAACUGUAUCGCAUUAAUGUAAGAGUAGAGUUCACACUAGAGAAUAAAAAUUGGGACCGGAACAAUGCUUCUGUAUAAAAUACUCUUUAGAUUUACAUAUUGUUGACUAAAAAUAAAUUUCAUUUUAAAUAAAACUCCGACCUUUUAUAUAGUAGUUUAUUAAAAAUAAUAUCAGAGUAAUAUAACAGUACAUGUCAGUACACCUAACAGUUGCUAGGGCAGUAUGUUUGCAUUUGUAUAAAACACUCGAAAACAUUAUAGGUACAAUUAUUAUAAAAACCAACUUUAAAACGUCUCUGAUGUAGAUUUUAUGGCACAUAAACGUAAAUAUUAAUUUAUCCUUACACUACAAUGAUUACGUGAGAUGAUCAAAAUGUACUUAAAAUAAUAUACCAAUGGCACAUAAUUUUACUAGUAAAUAAAUUGUAAAAUAUUUGAUAUGAAAUAUUAUGUAUGUAGCUGCUUCACACUUAUUUAUCUUACUUCAUCACCUCUUUCGAUAAAUAUUUAUAAUAAUCUCAACAAAAUACACAUAAAACAUUAUGAAAAUAUGAAUAGAGUGAGUGUACAUAAUGUUAUAAUUCUUUAACAUUUUAUAUUCCUUCAAAUUGACUCUAAAUUCUAACAUCAAUAAAUUAUGUAUUAACUAUUAUUUAUUUUUUAUAUUAUUUGUUAAGGCAUAACUUUGCUACAUAAUAGUGCGAUACUUGGAUGAUUGCAAGCGCAUAUUUCAAAUUACUACUCCAAAUAGACACGCUGAAAUAUUAUGGACUAGACAGGAAAGUAGUAUGGAGGAAGU